GCCUUCUUAGCUCAGUUGGUAGAGCUCGUCACUAGUAAUGACGAGGUCAGUCGUUCAAAUCGGCUAGAAGGCA
rnacentral:tRNA from 1 species